UGGAGGUGUUGUCUUGGGAUUCUCUCCAAAAUAUUUCACAGCAUCAUCAAAGGCAUCCUGGAAGACAGACACUUUUCAAAAACAAGACACAACCUUGGCACUAGUAAAUAGGCCAAAAGGAGUCCCGAGUAGAAAAGCUUAAGAAGCCCUGGUCUAGGCAAUGCUUUGCUCUUUUUCAGCAUGACCUUCCUUAUAAGGAGAAGAAGGAAGAUAAAAGGAGCAACAACAUCUGGAAGGCCUCAUAUAUAUUCUAACUAAAUACACACCUUGAAAUGAUUCAGCCAAGUCCAUGAGGGUCUAUCCUACUGUUAAAACUGAUGUGCAUUAAACACACAUAUGCAUGUUUCUUUA